rnacentral:rRNA from 1 species
UACGUAGGGACCAAGCGUUGUUCGGAUUUACUGGGCUUAAAGGGUGCGUAGGCGGCGCGGAAAGUUGGGUGUGAAAUCCCUCGGCUCAACCGAGGAACUGCGCCCAAUACUACCGUGCUUGAGGGAGAUAGAGGUGAGCGGAACUUAGGGUGGAGCGGUGAAAUGCGUUGAUAUCCUAAGGAACACCGGUGGCGAAAGCGGCUCACUGGAUCUCUUCUGACGCUGAGGCACGAAAGCUAGGGUAGCGAACGGG